UCUUUGCACUGGCUAUCGUGGGAGAAGCUUACUGUACCUAAGAUCAAGGGGGGGAUGGGUUUCAGAGACUUCCAAUGCUUCAACGUAACCAUGUUGGGGAAACAUGGAUGGCGCCUACUCACUCAUCCUACCUCCCUGUGCGCUCGAGUUCUGAAGGGAAAAUACUUCUCACACACUAAUUUUCUUCAUGCUAUGGUUCCUGCUCGGCCUUCUACUACAUAGCGGGCGAUAACAGCAGGAAAGUAA
rnacentral:rRNA from 1 species